UAAUACGUAGGGUGCGAGCGUUAAUCGGAAUUACUGGGCGUAAAGCGUGCGCAGGCGGUUUUGCAAGCCGGAUGUGAAAUCCCCGGGCUCAACCUGGGAAUGGCAUUCGGGACUGCAAGGCUGGAGUGUGGCAGAGGAGACUGGAAUUCCUGGUGUAGCAGUGAAAUGCGUAGAUAUCAGGAGGAAUACCGAUGGCGAAGGCAGGUCUCUGGGCUGACACUGACGCUCAUGCACGAAAGCGUGGGGAGCAAACAGG
rnacentral:rRNA from 1 species